UACGUAGGUGGCAAGCGUUGUCCGGAAUUAUUGGGCGUAAAGCGCGCGCAGGCGGUCCUUUAAGUCUGAUGUGAAAGCCCACGGCUCAACCGUGGAGGGUCAUUGGAAACUGGGGGACUUGAGUGCAGGAGAGAAGAGUGGAAUUCCACGUGUAGCGGUGAAAUGCGUAGAGAUGUGGAGGAACACCAGUGGCGAAGGCGACUCUUUGGCCUGUAACUGACGCUGAGGCGCGAAAACGUGGGGAGCAAACAGG
rnacentral:rRNA from 1 species